rnacentral:rRNA from 1 species
AGCGAACGCUGGCGGCAGGCUUAACACAUGCAAGUCGAGCGGGCACUUUCGGGUGUCAGCGGCGGACGGGUGAGUAACGCGUGGGAACGUGCCCUCUGGUUCGGAAUAACUCAGGGAAACUUGAGCUAAUACCGGAUACGCCCUUUUGGGGAAAGGCUUGCUGCCGGAGGAUCGGCCCGCGUCUGAUUAGCUAGUUGGUGAGGUAACGGCUCACCAGGGCGACGAUCAGUAGCUGGUCUGAGAGGAUGAUCAGCCACACUGGGACUGAGACACGGCCCAGACUCCUACGGGAGGCAGCAGUGGGGAAUAUUGGACAAUGGGCGCAAGCCUGAUCCAGCCAUGCCGCGUGAGUGAUGAAGGCCUUAGGGUUGUAAAGCUCUUUUAUCCGGGACGAUAAUGACGGUACCGGAGGAAUAAGCCCCGGCUAACUUCGUG